CCUACGGGUGGCUGCAGUGGGGAAUAUUGCGCAAUGGGGGCAACCCUGACGCAGCAACGCCGCGUGCAGGAAGAAGGUCUUCGGAUUGUAACCUGUUGUCGCAGGGGAAGAAGACAGUGACGGUACCCUGUGAGCAAGUCACGGCUAACAACUUGCCAGCAGCCGCGGUAAUACGUAGGUGACACGCGUUGUCCGGAUUUACUUGGUGUAAAGGGCGCGUAGGCGGGAUAGCAAGUCAGUCGUGAAAUGCCGAGGCUUAACCUCGGAGCUGCGAUUGAAACUGUUAUUCUUGAGUAUCGGAGAGGAAAGAGGAAUUCCGAGUGUAGCGGUGAAAUGCGUAGAUAUUAGGAGGAACACCAGUGGCGAAGGCGGCUGGCUGGACGACAACUGACGCUGAGGCGCGAAAGUGUGGGGAGCAAACAGGAUUAGAUACCCGAGUAGUC
rnacentral:rRNA from 1 species